GGGGAAUAUUGGGCAAUGGACGCAAGUCUGACCCAGCAACGCCGCGUGAAGGAAGAAGGCUUUCGGGUUGUAAACUUCUUUUAAGGGGGAAGAGUAGAAGACGGUACCCCUUGAAUAAGCCACGGCUAACUACGUGCCAGCAGCCGCGGUAAUACGUAGGGGGCAAGCGUUAUCCGGAUUUACUGGGUGUAAAGGGAGCGUAGGUGGUUCGGCAAGUCAGAUGUGAAAGCCCGGGGCUCAACCCCGGGACUGCAUUUGAAACUGUCGGGCUAGAGUGCAGGAGAGGUAAGUGGAAUUCCUAGUGUAGCGGUGAAAUGCGUAGAUAUUAGGAGGAACACCAGUGGCGAAGGCGGCUUACUGGACUGUAACUGACGCUGAGGUGCGAAAGCGUGGGGAGCAAACA
rnacentral:rRNA from 2 species